UACGGAAGGCAGCAGUGGGGAAUAUUGCACAAUGGGCGCAAGCCUGAUGCAGCCAUGCCGCGUGUAUGAAGAAGGCCUUCGGGUUGUAAAGUACUUUCAGUCGUGAGGAAGGUGUUAAGGUUAAUAACCUUAGCAAUUGACGUUAGCGACAGAAGAAGCACCGGCUAACUCCGUGCCAGCAGCCGCGGUAAUACGGAGGGUGCGAGCGUUAAUCGGAAUUACUGGGCGUAAAGGGCACGCAGGCGGUUAAUUAAGUUGGAUGUGAAAUCCCCGGGCUUAACCUGGGAAUGGCAUUCAAGACUGGUUAGCUAGAGUCUUGUAGAGGGGGUAGAAUUCCAUGUGUAGCGGUGAAAUGCGUAGAGAUGUGGAGGAAUACCGGUGGCGAAGGCGGCCCCUGGACAAAGACUGACGCUCAUGUGCGAAAGCGUGGGGAGCGAAACAGGGAUUA
rnacentral:rRNA from 1 species